rnacentral:lncRNA from 11 species
GGUUUAGCUUCCUCCUAAGAGCUGGAAAAAAUGAAGGAGUGGGAGGGAAGAAGGGAGGGGUCUUUUUUAAAAAAAAAUCAAGAAGUAGUUGCAAGCAACUUAAAUUAAUUAUUUUAAAAUACUACAUUCUGUUCAUAGUUGCUCAAGGCAAUUUUAGCAAUUUUAUUUAGCCUGCAAUAGACAUAGGAGAGCUCUGUGGCCUUAAAAGCCAUAAUUACCUAAAUCCUGGAUUUGCAAGGACAAAACAAAUCAUUUGCCAGUUUUGCUUUAUUUUGCUUUUCUUAACUUUAAGACUGCUUUGGACUUAACCAUGGGAGGCUGGGGUGUUCUCCUGGCCAUUUAACAGUUUCCUGCAGACAACUUAAGAAGAGGCACCUGCAUGGAAACUGCUUUCAGGCACCACCUGUGCCUUUGCUAAGGUCAUUAGACAAAGCCUGCCUUUCACUCUUACAGAGUCCAACCUGUGUAACCUUUGCAAUUUGUCACUGGAACACUUCCACUGAAUGAUGUGAGGAUAACAUGGAGAGUGGGAUAAGUGUGCUGCUCUGCUUCUUUGGAAGAAAAGCAAGAUCCAUACACUGAAAAAUAGUUGGGGAAAUUGAAGAGAAGAUAUCAGAGGCAGUACCCCUUCUCAGAACAGCUUCGAUCCAAAUAAUGGUGGAUGUAGCUGCCGCUGUGACAACAGUGAACACCGAUGGAAAUGCCAGAGCCUUACAUGGAGCCAUGUCUUUACGCUCUUCCUGAAGCCCAGAAGAGUCGGGCCUGCCGGAUGUUACUGGGGAGGGCGUUCCACAGCUGAGGAGCCAACAGAAGCACGAAAGGAAUACGCCAAACAGAAGGAGAAGGAGAGAGGCUACAAGUAGGAGGAGGAGGGAGGAGAGGCCAAAGGGGCAAACUCUCAUCUCCCAUCCGGACCAGGAUGAGAACAGCAAUAGGAAAGUGAAGGUAGGUGCCAAUCCCCUGCAGCGUAUGAAUAGCAGUACUAGCUCCAAUUCA